rnacentral:rRNA from 1 species
UACGAAGGGGGCUAGCGUUGCUCGGAAUUAUUGGGCGUAAAGAGCUCGUAGGCGGUUUGUCGCGUCUGCUGUGAAAACUGGAGGCUCAACCUCCAGCCUGCAGUGGGUACGGGCAGACUAGAGUGCGGUAGGGGAGAUUGGAAUUCCUGGUGUAGCGGUGGAAUGCGCAGAUAUCAGGAGGAACACCGAUGGCGAAGGCAGAUCUCUGGGCCGUAACUGACGCUGAGGAGCGAAAGCGUGGGGAGCGAACAGG